CCCAGCUUUAUUGUCCAGGGCUGGCUCCCUGGACAGGGAACCCUGGACUGUAUAAAAUGGAGAAAGAGAACAGAACAAGAGCAGUCAUGCUUCUGUUCCUUUCUGCUUCCUGACUGCGGAUGCAGUGUGACCCGAGGCUGUGAGCUCUGGCUGCCUUCCCUGCCAUAUGGACAUGCCUGGGACUAAAUGGCUUUCGUGAGGAAGGCUCUUCGUCACUCUUCUCUACCUGAGAACCGAGCGUGCCUUAGAGCAAGAUGCUGCCAUAUGGAUCUUGGGCUUCCCAGCCUCCAAAACUGAGGAACAAUCUCGGUUAUUUAGAAGUUACUAAGUACUACAAUUGGAAUCUGAAAUGUCCCUGAGCUCUCAGCUUCGUGAUUUUUUUAGUUUGCUUUGGGCAUGAACCACUGGGCUUGUGCCGGGACUGCGCUGACCCGGGGCUUCAUACAUGCUAGGCAAGAGCGCUACUGCCUGAGCCUCAACCUCAGACUUGAGGUUCUUGUUUUGAAAGUUCUGCCCCAGUUUGCCAUGCUGUUCUGAAGCUGUGGAGUCUUCAGGAGGUGAGGCCUGACUGGAAGAAAU
rnacentral:lncRNA from 1 species